AGAACCUUACCAACCCUUGACAUGGGUAUCGCGGGACCGGAGACGGUCCUUUCAGUUCGGCUGGAUACCACACAGGUGCUGCAUGGCUGUCGUCAGCUCGUGUCGUGAGAUGUUCGGUUAAGUCCGGCAACGAGCGCAACCCACACUCUUAGUUGCCAUCAUUCAGUUGGGCACUCUAGGAGAACUGCCGGUGAUAAGCCGGAGGAAGGUGUGGAUGACGUCAAGUCCUCAUGGCCCUUACGGGUUGGGCUACACACGUGCUACAAUGGUGGUGACAAUGGGUGAAUCCCAAAAAGCCAUCUCAGUUCGGAUUGGGGUCUGCAACUCGACCCCAUGAAGUCGGAAUCGCUAGUAAUCGCGUAACAGCAUGACGCGGUGAAUACGUUCCCGGGCCUUGUACACACCG
rnacentral:rRNA from 1 species